UAAAUAUGUACUUAAGUUCCACCAAACAGGCCUUAGGCCUAAAUCGGUGGAAGGGACUAUAAAUAGGGGUAGGGUAUCACCGAAUUACCCUAUUUUGAGCUGCUAUUCACUAUGAACAGAAAGAAGAAGAAGAGAGAAAGAAGAAGGAAGGAAAAAGAAAGGAAAGAGGAAGAGGAGAUAAAGAGAGAGUUGCUGAACUUGAGACAGCAGCUGGAUAAGUCUCUGUUUAGGGAAUUUGACUAGCAGUGUGGAAAUCUAUUCAGUGCAGAAAGGGAAUCCAUCUAAUUCUAAUACCAAAAUGACGAAGGCAGUAUUUUGCCGACUCUCAGCAAUGAUUAUGAGACAGUGGCCAUGGAUCACCUAGCCCAUAUUCCAGAGGAUGAAUUCGACCAUAGACCCGUCUGUGAUUGUGACGACUGUGCCUACGGAGGCCAGUACUUA